rnacentral:lncRNA from 1 species
GGAUGCCCCACUCGCACUAUCCUUUUCCAUGUUCCAUGGACCGUGAAAUUGGGUAAUUAUCUAAUUUGGCAUUAAAAUUAGAAAGAUCAUAUCAUAAGCAACAAGUGUACUAAGUUUCAAGUUGAUUGGACUUCAGCUUCAUCAAAAACUACCUUGACCAAAAACUUUAACCUGGACGGACGGACGGACGGAUGGACGAACGGACGAACGGACGAACGGAGCCACAGACCAGAAAACAUAAUGCCCCUCUACUAUCGUAGGUGGGGCAUAAAAA